rnacentral:rRNA from 1 species
CCUACGGGAGGCAGCAGUAGGGAAUCUUCCACAAUGGGCGAAAGCCUGAUGGAGCAACGCCGCGUGGGUGAAGAAGGUCUUCGGAUCGUAAAACCCUGUUGUUAGAGAAGUAAGUGCGUGAGAGUAUCUGUUCACGUUUCGACGGUAUCUAACCAGAAAGCCCCGGCUAACUACGUGCCAGCAGCCGCGGUAAUACGUAGGUGGCAAGCGUUAUCCGGUUUUAUUGGGCGUAAAGGGAACGCAGGCGGUCUUUUAAGUCUGAUGUGAAAGCCUUCGGCUUAACCGGAGUAGUGCAUUGGAAACUGGGAGACUUGAGUGCAGAAGAGGAGAGUGGAACUCGAGGUGUAGCGGUGAAAUGCGUAGAUAUAUGGAAGAACACCAGUGGCGAAGGCGGCUCUCUGGACUGUAACUGACGCUGAGGUUCGAAAGCGUGGGUAGCAAACAGGAUUAGAUACCCUUGUAGUC